rnacentral:rRNA from 1 species
AUCCGCACGGUAAACGAUGGAUGCCCGCUGUUAGCGAUACACUGUCAGCGACCAAGCGAAAGCAUUAAGCAUCCCACCUGGGGAGUACGCCGGCAACGGUGAAACUCAAAGGAAUUGACGGGGGCCCGCACAAGCGGAGGAACAUGUGGUUUAAUUCGAUGAUACGCGAGGAACCUUACCCGGGCUUGAACUGCAGGAGAACGAUUCAGAGAUGACGAGGUCCUUCGGGACUCCUGUGGAGGUGCUGCAUGGUUGUCGUCAGCUCGUGCCGUGAGGUGUCGGCUUAAGUGCCAUAACGAGCGCAACCCCUUUCUUCAGUUACCAUCAGGUUAUGCUGGGCACUCUGGAGACACUGCCACCGUAAGGUGUGAGGAAGGUGGGGAUGACGUCAAAUCAGCACGGCCCUUACGUCCGGGGCUACACACGUGUUACAAUGGGUGGUACAGAGAGCGGGCUGCCUGCAAAGUCAGCCGAAUCAUGAAAGCCAUCCUCAGUUCGGAUUGGGGUCUGCAACCCGACCCCAAGAAGCGGAUCGCAGUAAUCGC